UACGGAGGGUGCAAUCGUUGCUCGGAAUCAUUGGGCGUAAAGGGUGCGUAGGCGGCGCGGUAAGUCGGGUGUGAAAUCUCGGAGCUUAACUCCGAAACUGCAUUCGAUACUGCCGUGCUUGAGGACUGGAGAGGAGACUGGAAUUUACGGUGUAGCGGUGAAAUGCGUAGAUAUCGUAAGGAAGACCAGUGGCGAAGGCGGGUCUCUGGACAGUUCCUGACGCUGAGGCACGAAGGUCAGGGGAGCAAACGGG
rnacentral:rRNA from 1 species